AAAGUACUCCCUCCGUCCCAAAAUUCUUGUCUUAGAUAUGUCUAGAUACGGAUGUAGCUAAUACAUAUUAGAUACAUCCAUAUCUAGACAAAUCUAAGACAAGAAUUUUGGGACGGAGGAAGUAGUUG
rfam:Triticum aestivum genome assembly, contig: Triticum_aestivum_CS42_TGACv1_scaffold_030393_1BL